UCACAUUCUCUUUGUAGUUUUCUAUUUUCACGUCUCCGCGGCUUUCGGUGAAUUGAUCACGUCCCGUUAUUGGCGGUCUGGCGCUACUGCGAGAUUUAUAUCCACCAGGCCCUGGCCCAAGAGUUUCUGUUCGAGGAGAAAUGAAAACACACGACUCGACUGGAGAAUAAUACGGUGAAGGCUUUUUCAUGGCUUGCUGGAAAAUCCUAUGUGAAUUGGCCCGUUAGAAACAGUGUUUUUGAAAGAAGAUAUCGUCACUUGCGGAAACUGUAUAGCUGUUGUAUUGCUUAUAGAUAUAGAGUUUGCCCUUCGGUGGGAGGAGAGGGUCGACAAAAUUCUUCUGUCUGGUGAAAUGUCACCUGUAAAAGAAAUGGCGCCUCAUCCUAAGAUGUAUAUUCCAUUUUGAUAUCAGAAAUGUUUUUGGCGCGAUUUUGUCUGUUUCUAUCUUUUCUAUUACUAUCCAAAAUUGUCGUAUUUGAUAUAUAUUCCUGCAUACGCGAUAAUAAAUUAUAAAAUAUUAAUUUCAGCAAAUGGAAAUAUACGUUAAAGUGGC